CAUUUAUUGACAGCACGGCCCUACCACUGACUGAGUAUUAAAAAUCGUCUGGCGUUGGACAGGGUAAAUACUAAAGUCAUUACUGUGCUGAUGGAUUAACAAGAGCCUUUGGCAGAUAGGUUUGUUAACCAAUUUACUGGCAGUACCCUGUACCACUGACGAGUAAAAUAUUCUGGCGCUGGACAUGGGACUGGCGCAUUGCCAGCUAAUGGGUUAAACCACCGUGGUUAAACAUAAGAUUUGAUGCUCCAGGAAAUGUAAACAAACUAUCAGUGUGACAUCCCAGUUUAUAUAUUUAUAUACUCGGAAUAUUGAUUUCUCGGUAAAUACAAAAUUAUUUUAAAGUAUAACAACCAGCGAAGACGUAAGCCACUAACUACCCUGCGCGGCUGCGCGCAGACUAUAUAAUGACAUAUAUAUGUUAUCC